CGCAAAACCAAUUACAGAUUUACCGGUCUCUGCCGGUAGUAUCGCAAAACGGUAUUUCAAUAUUCUUCCGCAAGCUUGAACACAACUUUUUGGUACGUGUGCAUAGCUAUUAUUAAUGAUUUUUUACUUUAAAAAAUAUAUCUAACGACAAAACAUUUUCAUAUUAUUAAUUUGUGUUUUCAAAAAAUAUUAACAAGAGUAUCCAUUUAAAAAAUGAAUUUGGAACAAGCGAUAUGGAAUGUUAUUUUGCACUAGAUAAUUUCCGCGGAUCUGUAAUUUUUAUAGACCGGUUGAAAACCCAAAACUAAUUUGCAUAAUGGAAAUUUACAAGCCUCAAGGUCAUCUUGAUGUAAAAAUGAAAAGUUGACGAUAUAGUUAGUAGAAUGACACUCUUCAUAGGAGUAUAUUGGCCCUUAAAUGAGAAUUUCGUUACCCUCUUUUAUGUUUUGAGCAAAAACUAUAGAGGAUGAAAAGAAACUAAACAGUCUAUAAAAAGAUCUGUAAUACAAGAUAAAUAAAAUAGAGAUUGUUGUCACAAUGUUGGAGAGUGUCGUUUGUUUGGUAUGAAUAUAUACCAAGGUGAGCUACAGUGUAUACAAGCUCUUUACAGCUUCUAAUUAAUAUUACCUUCAAAUAUGCUUAAAUGUAUUACAAUACCUAAUUAUACCUAACUUUUGUCUUUUUUUGUUUUUACAUACUUUCAUCUGACAGUCAUUGCAUGGGUUCACGUUAGAUAAAGCGUA
rnacentral:lncRNA from 1 species